UGAUGAUGUAACAGAGAGAUGCAUCAUUCAGUGUCCUAUAUUGCUAAUUGGCGGACUCAUUUGAGACUUCCCUUUCAAUUUUGAAACAUUCUAUUACCUGGUUUUAUUACAGGAAAAGGUCUAAGCCUAGGGCUUCCAUGAAAUGUUAUGGUUGUCAAGGUAGUAUGAAGAUUUUUAUGGGGCAUCUGAUAUGUAGACUUUUCCCAUCUGGUUUACUCAUGUGUUGAGUAACAUUCAACUAUAACAUUCUUAAACGCCCUGCAUAUAACAUUCACUCGGUUUAUGCAGGGCAAUAUGAUAUGGAUUCUUCAAGGGGAGUCCUCUCAGGAACUAUAGACAAAUUCAAAUUGAUAUGUGCUAAGCUUACACACCUGUUAUGUCCUGCUUUCUCAUGGUUAUUAAUUACUCCACUGCCAUACUUCUUAUGUUUCCAUUGUUCUCUACAUGUAACUUGAUUCAAGAACCUAUGUGAGUUCAAUUAUCACUUAAAAUUCGUGUUAGUAUGGUAAAUUCUGAGAUAAUGAAUAAUAAGAGCCUCAUCAUAAU